CUUGCCGAGGGGCUGCCCGGGCGCCGUGUGCCGCUGCUGCACGGGGAAGCCCCCGACUGCCGCCAGCCCCUUCCCUCCCGGCCCGCCGGAGGAGGUGGCACGGCCCAGCCGCCAUCUCACCUGAGCAGGAUGUCAGUAAACAGAAUAAGAAAGUAUUGCUUACAGCUUCACCUGGGAGACCUCUUGGUCCUACUUCCCCAUCUUCUCCCUGGUUUUGUACAAAAGGAAUAUAAGUUUUAGGAAAAAAACCAAACAUAUUCCCACCUCAUGAGGAUUCACUCCAGAUUCGACUGUGUAAAUAGCAACUUACUCUUGAUCCAUCUUCACCAGGGAGGCCAGGAAGACCAUCAAAUCCUCUGUCACCCUAGGAAAGAAGAAAUCACAGCUUUACUAAAUGACUAUUGCAUUCAGUAUUACUCUGAAUAAAUUGUGCCUUCUCUCUAAAA